GCGGACGUGGUGCACGGUGCACUCCUUCAUUUCAUAGAGCGAUCAGACACAAUUGUUGAAGGCUGUCGGGGUUCGACUCCCCGCGUCCGCA